UGGGGAAUAUUGCACAAUGGGGGAAACCCUGAUGCAGCAACGCCGCGUGAGUGAAGAAGUAUUUCGGUAUGUAAAGCUCUAUCAGCAGGGAAGAUAAUGACGGUACCUGACUAAGAAGCUCCGGCUAAAUACGUGCCAGCAGCCGCGGUAAUACGUAUGGAGCAAGCGUUAUCCGGAUUUACUGGGUGUAAAGGGUGCGUAGGUGGCAGUGCAAGUCAGAUGUGAAAGGCCGGGGCUCAACCCCGGAGCUGCAUUUGAAACUGCUCGGCUAGAGUACAGGAGAGGCAGGCGGAAUUCCUAGUGUAGCGGUGAAAUGCGUAGAUAUUAGGAGGAACACCAGUGGCGAAGGCGGCCUGCUGGACUGUUACUGACACUGAGGCACGAAAGCGUGGGGAGCAAACA
rnacentral:rRNA from 1 species